rnacentral:misc_RNA from 1 species
GGUUUAUAAGAAUAUCAUCAUGUUCAAGUACUCGCCGCGUAGAAACCAACAGAGAAAUAAAGGUUUUAAGGUGAAACAUGCUCUUCAGAUAUGUGUACUUGUUGGUGUUUGUAUCUGGCUGCUUUACCAGGUCCAGCACUCACGUAGCAAGAAAGCAUCUAUUGAACAAAACACAAGAGCCUCAGAGAAGGUACAAACUGACAAUGAUGUUAUAAGGUUUGGAAGGAAGGACCUCCUACCUCAAAAGAAGGAAGUGGAUAUUGAUGAUGAGAAGCUGAAGGAGGUGACGGAGGAAGAUGAGCUUAAGCGUUUUGAUGAUGAUACCAAAGUGGAGGAGCAUGACCAUGAUCUAGAAAAAUCAGCGGAGGAUAGUGAGCAUAAAGGGGCUUCAGUGGAUGAGGAUACAGGGACAGAAAAAAUUGAGGAGAAAGAAGUGAGUGGAGAAAAUGCUGAAGCAGAAAGCAAAGAGAACACUGAAGAUGGCAAAGGCGAGAAUGAAGAUGGCAAAGGCGAGAGCACUGAGGAAGCCACGGACUCAAAUACCGACAACAGUGAAACUAAUGAAACCAGAGAAGAAGAUAGUGAAAAAGAUCAGGUAAAGCAAAGUGACGUUGAGGGUGAAGAAACUAAGGAUCAGGGAUUAGAAAAGGAAGUCAAGGAUGUUAAAGAGAAUAAUGACAGUGAAAGUGAAGAGAAGGCACAAAGUGAAGAGAGUGGAAAUGAAGAAACCUCUAUAAAUAGAAGUGAAGAAGUAGUUGAAAAUGUAAGUGACAAGAAGUCGGUGGAAUUGAAAGAAAGUAAUGAAGGGAAAGUAAAAGAGAAUGAGGAGAGCAAAGAAGAGAAGAAUGAGGGGGACAGCAGAGAGAUUGAUGAAGCCAGCAAAGAGAAGGAGGAGAACCAAGGCAAAACUGAAGAAUCUGGCUCAUCAGAAGAUAAGGUUCAUGAUGAAGUUGAUACAACUAAUGAGGCUUCAACAGUGGAAAGUGGCAAGGAAGAGAGUUCAGUGGUUAAAGAAACUUCAGAUUCUGAAAACAUGACUGGUACAGAAGGAGAUGGUAAUGUAGCCUUGAAUAAUGAGGAGGAAUCCAAGAAGGGAGAAGAUGAGUUGCAAGAUACGAAAAAUAAGUUGGAUUCAGAUGCUGGAGAAAAUAAGAUGCUUGAACAAAAUAGCUCUGCAGAUACAAAUACUGUUGGAGAAGUGACUAAUGAAAGCAACACUGAGGACAGUUCUAAUGCUGCAGCAGGAAACAAUGAAGCCGCUAGCCAGCAGACAGAAACUGACAAUUCUGCCUCUGAAGCCACUCAAAAUGAAAUCAACAGUAAUGAUAACUCCAAUCAAGCAGGAACAAAUGAAGCCAAUGAACAUCAGCAAGAAAAUGAGAACUCAGCAUCUCAUACCAUACAAAAUGAGAACAACUCUAGUGAUAACUCAGAUCAUGCAACAGGAACCAACAAAGCUAAUGAACAACAGCAAGGAAAUGAGAACAACUCUAGUAAUGACUCCAAUCACGCAGCAGAAACCCAUGAUGUCAAUAAGCAGCAGCAGGAACAGGAAAGUUCUGUUUCUGAUACCAAACAAAAUGAGAAGAACUCUGGUGAAGACUCCAAUCUUGCAGAAGGAACCAACGAAGCCAAUAAGCAGCAGAAGGAACAAGACAGUUCUUCUUCUGACACCAAACAAAAUGAGAAGAGCUCUGGUGAAGACUCCAAUCUUACAGAAGGAACCAAUGAAGCCAACAAACAGCAGCAGGAAAAU